rnacentral:lncRNA from 1 species
ACCAAUACCAGUGAGAUGCACGGAACUUUCAUUACGUGAACAUUCUAUCUCAUGUCCAGAGUUUUAGGAUUCGUGACCCCUCUACAUUUCCCAGCCAUUGUUUAAGUCCUCUUCUCCACUGAGUUUACUGGCCAUAGUUGUGGUACACAACCUUGUUCUUCUGAGUGAACACUCUAUUUACUUUCUAUGACCAGGGCUUCCUUUCUGGCUGUACCUUUGUUUCUUCUCUUUAGUUUAAUUACAAAGCUUUCAGAGAAUAGUCCCCUUUUUUGCUACUAGAAACUUCUUCCACUACACUUUCCAUUCAGACUGUACUUCACUCCUUCUGGGUGGACUCAGGAAUGUGUACAAAUUGUUCCUUAUCAAGCAAAUUGUAGAUAGUUGAUAUAGUUUAGCUCUGUGUCCCCACCCAAAUCUCAUGUAAAAUUGUUAAUUCCCAGUGUUAAGGAAGGCAAUUAGUGGAAGGUGAUUGAUUAUAGAGGCGGAUAUCCCCCUUGCUGUUCUCAUGGUAAUGAAUGAGUUCUAACAAGACCUGAUGGUUUAAAAGUGUCUGGCACUUCCUCAUUCACUCUCAGUCUUCUGCUCUGACAUGUGAAGACAUGCUCACUUCCCCUUUGCCUUCCGCCAUGAUUGUAAGUUUCCUGAGGUCUCCCAGCCAUGCUACCUGUACAGCCUGUGAAACUGUGAGUUAAUUAAACCUCUUUUCUUCAUAAAUUACCCAGUCGCAGGUAGUUCUUUAUAGCAGUGUGAGAACAGAGUAAUACAAUGCUUUAACACAGCUUCAGAACAGUGAGACCUGCAUUCUAUACUUAACUCGAUGAAUAACCUGUUUAUGAAUAACCUCUAUGAAUAACCCCCUGUUAUGUAACAGGGGACAAAUAAUCUUAGCUGCAAAAUGACUUGAGUCAUUUGACCACUAGAGUCUUUUACACAUUAUGCCUAUAUGAGAUAGAUCAAUUUAGCAUGGAUUCAGGGUACCAUGUGGGUAUUUAUUGUAAAAUAUAUUAGGUAAGACCUUUUAUCUAUCAACUGCAGUGAUUUUGGAGUACCUACAGAUUAGCUCAAUUUGAAGGAAUUGUACAGGCUUCUAGCCAGUGAGUAAAGGGAGAAAGAGAACCCCCAGAUAAAACAUUAAUACAUUAUUAACUAUUAUUUAAGAUAUUCUGCUUCCAUGUGUCUGAUAUUGUCAAUGUGGUUUUCUGAGAAAAUAAUCUUCCCUAGCGUUUGACUGGCAUGGGCUAUAUUUUUGUUUAAGAUAUUUUACUCUUCUCACAUAAACCAAUUAACUGUCAUAUUUUAUCCUUCCAGGAGUAUCCAAAUAUAAGGUUGGCUGACAGCCAGUUCGCUAAGUCCUAGAGGAUAAUAGCUUAUUGCCUAUAAACAGCCUUGUUUUAAAGUCUCUCUAUUCAAUUCUGGCACCACUUGUGAUGUGAAAGAUAUUAAUAAGGCUGUGAAGAAAGGUCAUAUGUUGGGUAUUAGCUUCACUGAGUAGCCCAAGUAAUUUUAUUUUUCCAUUCAACAGCUCUUUGUUUCUUUAGAUGACCAAAACAUUUAAUGUCCUUUCACUAUUUGCUGGAAAACGUCUGAAGGUUUUCAUAGCUGACUUGCUGAGUAGUUUUGAAUGGCCCACUG